AGAGUGAACGCUGGCGGUAGGCCUAACACAUGCAAGUCGAACGGCAGCACAGGAGAGCUUGCUCUCUGGGUGGCGAGUGGCGGACGGGUGAGGAAUACAUCGGAAUCUACCUUUUCGUGGGGGAUAACGUAGGGAAACUUACGCUAAUACCGCAUAAGACCUUCGGGUGAAAGCCGGGGACCUUCGGGCCUGGCGCGGAUAGAUGAGCCGAUGUCGGAUUAGCUUGUUGGCGGGGUAAAAGCCCACCAAGGCGACGAUCCGUAGCUGGUCUGAGAGGAUGAUCAGCCACACUGGAACUGAGACACGGUCCAGACUCCGUACGGGAGCAGCGAGUGGGGAAUA
rnacentral:rRNA from 1 species